GCCAUUCGCCCUUCGGGGCGCAGCAGGCGCGAAAACUUUACAAUGCGGGAAACCGUGAUAAGGGGACACCGAGUGCCAGCAUCAUAUGCUGGCUGUCCGGGUGUGUAAAAUACACCCGUUAGCAAGGGCCGGGCAAGACCGGUGCCAGCCGCCGCGGUAACACCGGCGGCCCGAGUGGUGAUCGUGAUUAUUGGGUCUAAAGGGUCCGUAGCCGGUUUGGUCAGUCCUCCGGGAAAUCUGACGGCUCAACCGUUAGGCUUUCGGGGGAUACUGCCAGGCUUGGAACCGGGAGAGGUAAGAGGUACUACAGGGGUAGGAGUGAAAUCUUGUAAUCCCUGUGAGACCACCUGUGGCGAAGGCGUCUUACCAGAACGGGUUCGACGGUGAGGGACGAAAGCUGGGGGCACGAACCGGAUUAGAUACCCGGGUAGUCCCAGCCGUAAACGAUGCUCGCUAGGUGUCAGGCAUGGCGCGACCGUGUCUGGUGCCGCAGGGAAGCCGUGAAGCGAGCCACCUGGGAAGUACGGCCGCAAGGCUGAAACUUAAAGGAAUUGGCGGGGGAGCAC
rnacentral:rRNA from 1 species